rnacentral:lncRNA from 1 species
CACUUGGAUAACUAUACAUACACUAGUGGUUACUCAACACGCUUGUGUACAUGACGUCUUAAAGGAAAACAACGGACAAAUAGCUACUUUUACCAUGUUAAAUCUCCCAUGAUACUUAAUAAUGUGUAUCUUUUAGUAGAAAGUGCACAAUAUAAAGAAUGAGAAUUAGUAAAAACAAUAUUUUCGACGUGGCAUGCCUUGGACCUCUGCGAUUCAAUAAAACAAUCAAAUUAUAGGUUGCAAGAAGUUCAACUGACUACGAGAAGUGUUUUUGGCGUUUGUAUUUAUUUAAUUUUGUU